rnacentral:rRNA from 1 species
CCAAAAACAUAGCCCUAGAAGUAAUCUAAGGUGUAACCUGCCCAAUGAUUUUUAAUUAAAAAUUAAUAAAAAUAAUUAAACAAAAUUUAAAGGAUGCAGUAACCUUGACUGUAAUAAUGUAGCAUAAUCAUUCGCCAUUUAAUUGAUGGAUAGUAUGAAUGGUUGAACGAAUGUUCCACUGUCUUAAAUAGAAAAAAAAAGAAAUUGGAAUAAUAGUAAAGAUACUAUUUAAAAUUGUAAGACGAAAAGACCCUAUAGAGCUUAACUAUAAUUUCUUUUAUUAGAGAAAUUGGUAGUUUAGUUGGGGCGACUAUCUUCUAAAAAUAACGAAGAGAAAUAAAUUUAAUAAAUAUAAUACUGUAUAAUAAAUAAAUUUAACAGUUACAAAAAUAGAUUAUAAUGACCCGUUAUAAUUGAGUAAAAAAUAUAACGACCAAUAAAUAAAAGCUACCUUAGGGAUAACAGGAUAAUUUCAUUCAAGAGAUCAAAUCAAAAAUGAAGUUUGUCACCUCUAUGUUGAAUUAAGAUAACCUGGUAAUGCAGAAGUUACCAAAGGUAGGUC